UGUUUGGCCUUUGUACGCAGCUACGAGAAGGCGCUCUGAAAGUGCAGCGACCGCAUCUUGCUGGCUCAUGAAUUAGGAAAGAAAGGUUUUCAGGGAAGCGGUAGACAAGUUCCUUCAGCUCAACACGAAGUCACUGGCCCGGCCUGGCACCCAGAGGUAAAGAAUAGCAGAAAAAGAGAGAGGAACUCUCGCAAACCCAUCCUGCUCCUGCUCACUGGGUCAUUAGAAACAAAACAGAUCUGGUGAAGGGUCUGCUGUAAAGCAGCUUGUCUUGUGUCUGCAGAUUUUCACGGACUGCUCCCUCCUGCCAGCAGAGGACCUGUAACACUGCCCCGAUUGAAGUCAGGGAACAAUUCACAGAUCGGAGGAACAUUUCUGAAUGACGCUCAGAUGACAGAGAAACGAAGUUUGCAUAAUUUCAGCAGUAAUGCAAGAAAAGAUGAGUGUGCGUGUUGUAAGGGAGGGAGGGAUGCAGAAAGGGUUGAAAUCUGUAAUAAACUGCCUCCAAGAAAACAGCUUCCAGAACACUUCCUCCUUCUGAGAAGAUCUACUCCCACAGGUAGGGCCCUUAACACAGUACUACCUAUGAGGACACUCAGCACUGACUGCUCACGGAACCUGGUGCCCACCAGGACUAUUUGCGAAAGAAGGGAAAUGACAGGGUGGACACGCUCUGCUUUAGCAAGCCCAUGACUCAUUAUAAAUACACCCCACUGUCACAAAGAAACAAGUAUGUUUAUUUCUUGAGCCAUUUAAAGCACAAAAACUCUCUUCUUCUAACUCUGUCACUGAAUCUUUUGAAAUAACCACCUCUGCAGGAGGCAUAGAGGCUGUUACAGUGAAAGCUGAGUGACAUCUGAAUAUUAUUCAGGAAACCUGUGACAUACCCUUCCAAGAAAAGCUGCUUACAGAUGUAAAAAUCACAUAGGAGGAAUAAGCACAUAUCACCGAAUAAAGAUGUGACUGACAGAAGGCUUGGGAGGUAGAGACCGUCCCUUUUUAUGUAGGACAAUAACUUAUUGACUGACCAGCACUGCUAGACCACCAGAGCCUCCAAGUCAGGGCUGGGCACUCCCAUCACUUGGCAAAUGACCAUGCGCAUACUCAAAGUUCAGACCAAGUGUUAUCUCUGCUAAGCCUUCUGCUGUCCCUGCCUUGCCCUAGACAAGAU
rnacentral:lncRNA from 1 species